GGUUUGUUUUGGAGUGCAGGAGUGAAUAGUCCUUUCUGUCCUGCUUUGAGUACUGCUGUUGGGUGCCAUGGGGGGACCUUAAGCAAGCUCUGAAGUUGAGACAUGGGCUGCACGGGACGAAGAUAGAUACCCGAAUGCAAAGCACUCCCGAGAUCUGUAAAAGGACUGGCCCCGGACAGGAAGCACACUUUAAACUAGAGGAGGGGAUUAAACAGUUCUCUGUAUCCUGCUUUGAGCGCUGCUGUUGGGUGCUGUGAGGGGACCUCAAGUAAGCUCCAUUUUUGAAACAUGGUAAGCACAUGGUUACUGUCUAUAAUGGAUAGGGGCAGGUGGCUGAG
rnacentral:lncRNA from 1 species